AAAUGACUCUCGGCAACGGAUAUCUCGGCUCUUGCAUCGAUGAAGAACGUAGCGAAAUGCGAUACUUGGUGUGAAUUGCAGAAUCCCGUGAACCAUCGAGUCUUUGAACGCAAGUUGCGCCUGAAGCCAUUAGGCUGAAGGCACGUCUGCCUGGGCGUCA
rnacentral:rRNA from 2 species